rnacentral:lncRNA from 1 species
AGCUGUUACGGUUUUUUUUUUUUAGGGUUCGGUGUUUUACUGUUGAGCUGCUCAGUGCCCAGCUUAGAGGACCAGGAAAAGGAGUCACCGGCCAUAUGCUGGAGGCUUGAGACACGGCACAGCGGCGCAGCUCGCCUCGCUAUGGUUGGUGGUGGCAGUGGAGCUUGCGAUUGCCACGCGGCUGGAGGGUCCUUUAGGUUGUUUGAGGGACAUUCAUCAAGGAAACCGGAGAAACUUAAAAUGCUCUUCCGCUUCUUUGGAACAGUCACAGAGAAAAGUGAACUCCUUUCAUUCUUGCAGUAAUUUUUCUUGCUGAUGGGAACAGUUCAAGUCAAGUGACAUUAUGUAAAGCUAACGGUUUAAAGAGGAAAUCCUAAAGAGAAUAAAAGAGGUUGCAGUAUAAUGAGUCGUUGUGUAGAAGUUCUGGAGCCUACUCAAUAGACUGGAGAAGCUUAUUUAAGAACCUACUGGGUUGGUGACAUUUACAAGACAGAGUCUUGAGGAUUUUCCAGAACGGGAAAGAUUUUGAAAGAACAAAGAGGAACUACAGAAUCAUUGCUUACAUUGACACCGGCCCUGUUGUCCCAAUGGAUGGGUUUUUUUUGGAUGAACGUCAAAAUUGACCCUGCUGUUAAAGCUUGAAACUUGGAUCUGUUGUAUCUGAGUUCUCUCCUCAAAAAAAGACCUUCAGGAAGUAUCAGAUAACUGAAACAUACCAGAUCACAGCACCACAUGCCUCCUGCCCCUCCCUAAUUUCUGUUCUCUUAUACAUUGUUAAAUUUUUUUCCUGCCCCUAUUAGUCAAGCCCAUGGAUUUGAGACUGAGCUCCCAGCUCCUGGGCCGCAGCACCAGGUUAAAGCUUUCUUCCUUGGCAGUACUUGUCACCUCAGUGACUGGCUUUUUCUCCGAUGAGCAGGAGGACCUGGACGAAACCCCUAGUGUUUGGUCAAGGAACUUGAUGCUCCCUAAAUCCAAAUAUUACGGUUAAAAGAAGAGAGAGGAAAUGUGUGCAGAGAAAGUGUAUUUUACAAAUGAAUUAAAGGUGGAUUCUGAGUUACAGGUUUAUAGAUUUACCUAGAGUUUUGAGUUCAGGAAGCCAUCAUUCUUUAGAGGGCAAUGACCAAACAGUACCAGCAGAAAUUGAAGUACCAGCAGAAGGCUAAGAAGGGAUCAUGGCACAAGCUGCAGUUUCCACCCUGCCCAUUGAAGAUGAGGAGUCCAUGGCAGAUGAG